GGGUGACGGCCCCUGCGGCUUCCAGUGUUCUUUCACGGGGUGGGCGUGUAGGUCAUAAAACGACGAUGUCAAGGACGUUCUCCGCUCUUCCCGUACUCGUAGUCGCCUCCAAAUUGCGGGCCGCUGCGGUCGCAACCCUGAAAACGCGUCCCCCCGGGUUGCCCUUCUUCCUCCUUUUCGCCACGGGGUCGUCCUAAAAAGCUUCUCCGAAGUGGGGGGCUGCUUCCCAAUAUUCGACAAACACAACAAUUGUGUUGUGAGCAUGGACGAGCACGUGGAACUCACUCCGGCUGUGCGUCGCCUGUUGCUGGGCGUGCUUACGAACGGCGGGAACGAUCUCAAUGGUAAGUGCUACGUACUUCACACUGAUAAUAAAUUCUGCCCGUAAUGAUAAAUUUUGAUAGCUCCGCGUGAAGGCUGGUCACAUAGUCGUACGGUAGGUAGGUGCACGUGGCAACGACCGCAAUCGGCGCUCGCAAAAAUGCGGCACGUUCUGAGCAGGACUUUUUUUUCCAUCUGAGUAGUUACGUACCUGCCGCCUUAGAAGUCCUACUGCUUUAGAAUAUCACAGGCGCGUCGGAAUUUUCUCAACGCUCACCAAGCAUAUCUGCUUUACCACCUUUGCUAAAAAUGCACGGCGAGCUCCCUGUGUUCGCACAUGAAUACGUGCAUGAAAAAUUUACUAGAGAAGUAACGCUUUCUUGGUGCUAAUUGACCUCUAUUCUUUUGGCGUUAACCCGCAAAUGUUUUUUUUUUAAUGUAUUUGAAGGUGCUACCGAGUGUGACGCCGCCGACGUUCUGACACCUCCACAGAGCGCAUCUCUAGGAAAUGAUUCUGCAGCAUCCAGCGGAUCGUCAAGAAGUGAGGCUGGCCAGCCAAGGGCUCCUGCACGUGCUGCAGGGUGUGAGUGGACGAGUGGUGAGACAAAGCUGCUGCUUGACCUAUACGCCUCAUAUUUUCCAAGUCGGCCCUCUAAAAAAAUUCCGCAACAAGAAGGCCAUGUUUGAAAGAAUCGCCACAGAGAUCAAAGAUAAACUCAGUGUAACACGGACUGUGAGCAGUGCUGCUCUAGAUACAAAACCGUACUGAAAAGAAAAAGUGUGGCAGCUGGCAACAAUAACAAGUCUGGCAAUUCCCCACAAGAAGUCCCCUACGAGGAUGAACUCGAAAAAAUCAAGUGGCUGGAUGACAGCAUAGAACCAGAAGUGGUACGUGAUGCAAGUGGAGUGGUGUCGAAAAAGACACGUCCACAAUCAUUAACUGAGUCCAUCUCGCAAGCCGAUUCAAGCCCGUCAACAUCAAACACUGCAUCCAGCUCCGUUGGGCAAGAGGACGUCCCUGAUGCAAAAAAAAAGCGCCCGAAUUCAGCACGGGAGCUGCAUAUGCAAGUAUUCUUUGAGAAGAUGAAUGAAUUGGAUGAACGCCGAGCAAAACAUAAGGCAGAAAGAGAGAGCAAGAGGGAAGAGCGGCGACUUGCCGAAACACAGCGACGGGAGGAGAUGCAUGCAGACAAGAUGAACCUUCUCCGUGAAAUUUUCAACUUAGACAAAAAUAAAUAAAAUGUGAAAAGCAUGUUUAUUGUAA